CGGGCUCGAAUCACGAAGGAGAUUCAGAGUUAAUAAGAGAACGAGCGACCGGACCGUCGAUGAGAAAGGACCGGGCCCGAACAUGUUUUACGUUUGUAUUUGUGUAGUAUUCGCCGGCCGUCGACCGCGAGGGGCGGCCGGCUGUAAUUUUUACUUUUAUUUGUUUAAAUGUUUAUUUAAAUGUCUUCAGGUUCCCGUAUCCUUCCUUCCCUCCCUAUCAUGAAUUUCUCUACAUUGGUGCCAAAACCCGGGAGGAAGGAGAGACAUGCUGUCGGAGAGUCCUCGCCGCCGAGUGGCCUCGCGGUGCCGGAGAGUUCGGGCAGCGCGUAUGAAGGGCGUCCGCCAGUGGCUGCCCGAAGCGGUGGAUCUGGGAAACGGAAGUGCACAGUAGGGCCACAGUCAAAGCCUCGGUGGAACGGCCACCUGUGCCGCCGCGCCCCUGGGAGGGUGUGGGGUGGCUAUCUUCCAAGCGGGGUUGUUGCCGCCGUCCGCCAGAGGCCGAAGCCUGCGUCGUCCGCCCAAGGGGGAGGAGCAGGGGGCGGGGAACACGCCCCGACUCUGCGCUAAAGGAGCCACCGCCGGCCGCCAGGGGGCGGACGGUCGAGCGGUCCACCGAGGGCCCAGGGCCACCGCGAAGGAGAGUACCCCGGCUGGUUGAGGAAUGAGCGGCAGUUUAUCUUUUCGGGGAACUGGACUAUAUAUUUUUUUCCCCUCUUUCCGGUCGCUCCAAGGGCUCCCGUCUCCGUUGUCUCGUCCCGUCACUACAUUUUAUUAAUUAUUUGUUUUCCCUUCAUUUAGUUUGUGUAGAUUCAGAGUGUGUAGUUAAUAACUUUACUGAUUUCUUUUCAUUUAUUAUUUAAAAUGGAUCAUUCGCGGAAAUUGUUCAUGUUUGCUGGCUCGGGUAACAUCAGAGUGGACAUCAGCCAUGAGUCCAGGUAAAGAAUCACCAGAUUACACAACAACACAAACAAAUAUAGUGUAGCCUACUUCAAAGUGUCUUUACACAUUCCUUUCAGAGGUUUGAUUUGUGAAGGAGUGAAACUCCCUCUUCUCCCACGUCCACGUAAGAUUUCAUAGAUGUUGUGUGUGUGACUUUACUUCAAAUCAAACAUUACAUCGAAAACAUUUUUAUCUGCAUUUAGCAAAGAAAGAGUUCAAUUUGAAGCCUCCAGUGGACCUGAGAAGUAAAGUGACUGAAGAAAAGUUGACACUUCCCAAACUCGCCGUUAGGGGGCACCAUGAGAAAAAGCGUCAGAUGUGGCGACUAUCGGGCCUCAACCUGCAGGUCUGGAUGCCCCCAGAGUGAAUAUUACACAUUGAAGUCUUUACCCCAACUGUGUUAGAUAUCAUACGUCACUUCCACUUCUGGAAGGUUUUAGACCAUCCAAACCUAUCCAACCUCGUCUAGCGAUGGUUGGACACAGGAGGACGUUCAGGACUCGGCAGUCAGGCAAGAACCUGGAGCUCAUGGUCACCAACAGUCCAGGAGCAACACGAGGGAUAAGUCAAUUUAUUUAAUGUGCAAAAAAUAAAAAUCUUACAAGCGACAACAAAUA